AAAUUGAAGAGUUUGAUCAUGGCUCAGAUUGAACGCUGGCGGCAGGCCUAACACAUGCAAGUCGAACGGUAACAGGA
rnacentral:rRNA from 9 species